AAUAUAUACUAUACUAAAAAGGGGAUAUAAGCCAUGGAGAGGGUGUCUACAUAGGAUAGAAAAAUCAACCAAUCAGAGAACCCGAAAUUGCCAUGUCAUCUCAUUUAUUUUUCGUAAAAAAUAAAAAAAACAAUGCGAAGGUGAGAAUCGAACCCGGGUUGGUAUGAUAUAUAUAUAGGACAGUUACCACUAAGCCAUUGACACUUUCUUGGACACAUAUAAAGAACCACUAAGUAUAUAAUCACAAACUUUUAUGUACAUUUACAAUAAUAUGAAUUCAACUUUCAAGACUC
rnacentral:lncRNA from 1 species